rnacentral:rRNA from 1 species
GGAGGAGAGAAGCUUGCUUCUUUAAUCUAGUGGCAAACGGGUGAGUAACACGUAAACACCUGCCUUCAGGAUGGGGACAACAGACGGAAACGACUGCUAAUACCGAAUGUGACCGCAUGAUGAAAGAUGGCCUUUUUAAAGCUAUCGCCUGAAGAGGGGUUUGCGUCUGAUUAGGCAGUUGGUGAGGUAACGGCCCACCAAACCUACGAUCAGUAGCCGGUCUGAGAGGAUGAACGGCCACACUGGAACUGAGACACGGUCCAGACUCCUACGGGAGGCAGCAGUGGGGAAUCUUCCGCAAUGGACGAAAGUCUGACGGAGCAACGCCGCGUGAGUGAUGACGGCCUUCGGGUUGUAAAGCUCUGUGAUCGGAGACGAAGGCUGGUAUGCUAAUACCAUAUCAGAGUGACGGUACCCGAAUAGCAAGCCACGGCUAACUACGUGCCAGCAGCCGCGGUAAUACGUAGGUGGCAAGCGUUGUCCGGAAUUAUUGGGCGUAAAGCGCGCGCAGGCGGCUUCUUAAGUCCAUCUUAAAAGUGCGGGGCUUAACCCCGUGGUGGGAUGGAAACUGGGAGGCUGGAGUAUCGGAGAGGAAAGUGGAAUUCCUAGUGUAGCGGUGAAAUGCGUAGAGAUUAGGAAGAACACCGGUGGCGAAGGCGACUUUCUGGACGACA